rnacentral:RNase_P_RNA from 1 species
CAAGUAUGAAAGACGGUUGCGAGUCCAUAGGACUCGAGGAAAGUCCGAGCUCCAUAGGGCAGGAUGCCAGAUAACGUCUGGCGAGGGUAACCUUAGGGAAAGUGCCAUAGAAAAGGAAACCGCCACGUCAGUGGUAAGGGUGGAAAGGUGAGGUAAGAGCUCACCAGCAGUUUGGUAACAGGCUGGCUCGGUAAACCCCAUCCGGAGCAAGACCGAAUAGGGAAGGGUUAAGGGUGGUCCCGCCUACCUUCCGGGUUGUGUCGCUCGAGCG